rnacentral:rRNA from 1 species
GAUGAACGCUGGCGGCGUGCCUAAUACAUGCAAGUCGAGCGAACAGACGGGGAGCUUACUCCUCUGACGUUAGCGGCGGACGGGUGAGUAACACGUGGGUAACCUACCUAUAAGACUGGGAUAACUUCGGGAAACCGGAGCUAAUACCGGAUAACAUGUUGAACCGCAUGGUUCAACAGUGAAAGACGGUCUUGCUGUCACUUAUAGAUGGAUCCGCGUCGCAUUAGCUAGUUGGUAAGGUAACGGCUUACCAAGGCAACGAUGCGUAGCCGACCUGAGAGGGUGAUCGGCCACACUGGAACUGAGACACGGUCCAGACUCCUACGGGAGGCAGCAGUAGGGAAUCUUCCGCAAUGGGCGAAAGCCUGACGGAGCAACGCCGCGUGAGUGAAGAAGGUCUUCGGAUCGUAAAACUCUGUUAUUAGGGAAGAACAAAUGUGUAAGUAACUAUGCACGUCUUGACGGUACCUAAUCAGAAAGCCACGGCUAACUACGUG